GCACAAUGCCAGGCAACAGGCAGUAGAAACAGUAUCAAAAUGCCAAAAUGUGUUGCCAAAAAUUGUAAAAGUGCAUCUACUAAAGGAAUUAAAACGUGUUCCUUUCCACAAGAAAGGGAAAUACAAAUAUUAUGGAUUAAAAAUAUAGGUCUAAGUAACUGGCAGCCGAAAAAGUCACGUUUGUGUGAGAUAUCAUCAAUGAAUCCACUUCAUUAUUACCCAAGUAUGAAGAUACCCA